rnacentral:misc_RNA from 1 species
AAGACUAUAGACCUGCGGAGUACCUGCGGAAGGAUCAUUAUUGAAUUAUGUUUCUAAAUGGGUUGUAGCUGGCUCGUCAGAGCAUGCGCACGCCUGUUUGGACUUCAUUUUCAUCCACCUGUGCACCUAUUGUAGUCUUUGGUUGGGUAUCAAGGAAGUGGUCAGCCUAUCAGCACUUGCUGGAUGUGAGGACUUGCAGUGUGAAAGCUUUGCUGUCCUUUACUUGAUCAUGGAGUUGUU